AAUCAGGCAUAUAACAGAAAAAAAAAAACUUUUUAUUUGGGUUCUUUUGAAGGGAGAGUUUAACCCUCUAGUGUUCCAGAAGACAACUUUCAUGGGGAACUAUGAUGCCCCGAUUGAUACAUACCCACAUCAACUAUGUUCAUAACAUCAUAUACAUCUCUAUCAUUGUUAUCGCAAUCAACAUUUGUGUUAGAAGUAAGUUUCAGAUUGUUAUCUUUGAGCCAUGUCGCAAGUUUCUUCUUGAAGAUCUCUUCUUCUGUUUCCUGUUCGGAUUGAUCAGUGAUCUCCAUCUCCUGUUCCUAUUUGUCACUAAUCAACAUGGGACCAACACUGUCUUUGAUUAUGUCGGAUUGUGUUGGAGAAGGAGGAGAGUGAAUAGAGGAGAAAAUUGCUAGACUCGAUAUAAUACCAUCAAUGAUAGGAGAAAGUGAUCCUAAGUCCAUUAUGAGAUUAAUCCCAUCCAUGUCCAAAACUUCGAUCUUCGAUUGUAUAGUCUUUCCACUAUCUUUGCUAGGAAAGUCUUUCUUCACUUCAAUAUUUUUCAUGGGGUUUUUGACCCUGUAGACUAAUUUCCC
rnacentral:lncRNA from 1 species